UUGCUUUUUGCUCCUUUGAUAUAAACUGAUUAUUGACAGUAUCUGUGUGCUAGGUGGAUCAGGAAGCUGAGCUUUUUCCCUCUGGUUCUGAAGGCAUAUUUCUUGUUUUUGUUUUGUUGUUGUUUGUAGUAUUGAAGAUUUUUAACCCAGAUAUGUUUCUUCCUGCAAUGUGAGAGUAAGAAGAAGCAGCCAAAAGGAGAAAGGCACAGAUGUAACUCCUUAGUCUGGUAUUCCCUACAGACAUCUCGGAUCAAAACCUUACAGAGUGUAGAAUUUGUGCUGACCAUCACUGCUGAGGGUUGCACCAGCUGGCAUUAGCAUGGCACCUGCUGUCCUCCGAGAAAACAGCAGCCUAAAUCUUGCCUCACUGGAUUAUUACAUGUCAAGGAUCUCAAGAACACGGAAAUAUUUCAUUCCAAUUUUCUAAGGAAGAAGUGUGCACUGAGAUACCUGUGUGCAGAGUGCAGACUAUAGAAAAGCAAAUAAUAUUGUGCCAUAUAUUUCUGUAUAAUAAGGUUCAUGAAGAGAAAUAUGCAAGCAAUAAAUUGUGCACAGCUGGAAAUAUGA